CCUACGGGAGGCAGCAGUGGGGGAUAUUGCACAAUGGGGGGAACCCUGAUGCAGCGACGCCGCGUGGGUGAAGGAGUGCUUCGGCAUGUAAAGCCCUAUCGGCAGGGAAGAAGCAAGACGGUACCUGACUAAGAAGCCCCGGCUAACUACGUGCCAGCAGCCGCGGUAAUACGUAGGGGGCGAGCGUUAUCCGGAUUCACUGGGGGUAAAGGGAGCGUAGACGGCCAUGCAAGCCAGGGGUGAAAGCCCGGGGCCCAACCCCGGGACUGCCCUUGGAACUGCAUGGCUGGAGUGCGGGAGGGGCAGGCGGAAUUCCUGGUGUAGCGGUGAAAUGCGUAGAUAUCAGGAGGAACACCGGCGGCGAAGGCGGCCUGCUGGACUGCGACUGACGUUGAGGCUCGAAAGCGUGGGGAGUGAACAGGAUUAGAUACCCUUGUAGUC
rnacentral:rRNA from 1 species